rnacentral:rRNA from 1 species
UGCAGUCGAACGAUCCUUUCGGGGAUAGUGGCGGACGGGUGAGUAACGCGUGGGAACCUGCCCCGAGGUACGGAAUAACUCAUGGAAACGUGAGCUAAUACCGUAUGUGACCUGAGGGUGAAAGAUUUAUCGCCUUGGGAGGGGCCCGCGUCGGAUUAGGUAGUUGGUGGGGUAAUGGCCUACCAAGCCUGCGAUCCGUAGCUGGUCUGAGAGGAUGAUCAGCCACACUGGAACUUAGACACGGUCCAGACUCCUACGGGAGGCAGCAGUGGGGAAUAUUGGACAAUGGGGGCAACCCUGAUCCAGCAAUGCCGCGUGCGUGAUGAAGGCCUUAGGGUUGUAAAGCGCUUUCGGCGGGGAAGAUGAUGACGGUACCCGCAGAAGAAGCCCCGGCUAACUCCGUGCCAGCAGCCGCGGUAAUACGGAGGGGGCUAGCGUUGUUCGGAAUUACUGGGCGUAAAGGGCGCGUAGGCGGCGAUUUAAGUUAGGCGUGAAAGCCCCGGGCUUAACCUGGGAACUGCGCUUGAUACUGGAUUGCUUGAGGACGGGAGAGGGUAGUGGAAUUCCCAGUGUAGAGGUGAAAUUCGUAGAUAUUGGGAAGAACACCAGUGGCGAAGGCGACUGCCUGGCCCGUUACUGACGCUGAGGCGCGAAAGCGUGG